rnacentral:tRNA from 1 species
GCGCUUGUGGCGAAAUUGGUAGACGCGCCAGACUUAGGAUCUGGUGUCUCGCGACGUGUAGGUUCGAGUCCUAUCAAGCGCA